rnacentral:rRNA from 1 species
GACGAACGCUGGCGGCGUGCCUAAUACAUGCAAGUCGAGCGAAUGACGAGGAGCUUGCUCCUCUGAUUUAGCGGCGGACGGGUGAGUAACACGUGGGCAACCUGCCCUGCAGACUGGGAUAACUUCGGGAAACCGGAGCUAAUACCGGAUAAUCCAUUUUACUUCAUGGUGAAAUGUUGAAAGGCGCUUUCGCGCCACUGCAGGAUGGGCCCGCGGUGCAUUAGCUAGUUGGUGGGGUAACGGCCUACCAAGGCGACGAUGCAUAGCCGACCUGAGAGGGUGAUCGGCCACAUUGGGACUGAGACACGGCCCAAACUCCUACGGGAGGCAGCAGUAGGGAAUCUUCCACAAUGGACGAAAGUCUGAUGGAGCAACGCCGCGUGAGUGAUGAAGGUUUUCGGAUCGUAAAACUCUGUUGUAAGGGAAGAACAAGUACGUUAGGAAAUGAACGUACCUUGACGGUACCUUAUUAGAAAGCCACGGCUAACUACGUGCCAGCAGCCGCGGUAAUACGUAGGUGGCAAGCGUUGUCCGGAUUUAUUGGGCGUAAAGCGCGCGCAGGUGGUUUCUUAAGUCUGAUGUGAAAUCUCGCGGCUCAACCGCGAGCGGUCAUUGGAAACUGGGGAACUUGAGUGCAGAAGAGGAUAGUGGAAUUCCAAGUGUAGCGGUGAAAUGCGUAGAGAUUUGGAGGAACACCAGUGGCGAAGGCGACUGUCUGGCUCGUAACUGACACUGAGGCGCGAAGCUUGGGGAACGAAAAUGA